rnacentral:snRNA from 1 species
AUACUUACCUGGCAGGGGAGAUACCAUGAUCACGAAGGCGGUUUUCCCAGGGCGAGGCUUAUCCAUUGCACUCCGGUUGUGCUGAUCCCUGCGAUUUCCCCAAAUGUGGGAAACUUGACUGCAUAAUUUGUGGUAGUAGGGGACUGCGUUCGCGCUUUCCCUUU